rnacentral:tRNA from 1 species
UCUAUUUUGGCAGAGUUAAUGUGUUAAAUUUAGGAUUUAUUUAUGUAAAAAAAUUACAGGUAGAAAUAUUUGUUAAUAUAAUUAUAUUUACUC